GGGGAAUCUUAGACAAUGGGGGAAACCCUGAUCUAGCCAUGCCGCGUGAGCGAUGAAGGCCUUAGGGUUGUAAAGCUCUUUCAGCUGGGAAGAUAAUGACGGUACCAGCAGAAGAAGCCCCGGCUAACUCCGUGCCAGCAGCCGCGGUAAUACGGAGGGGGCUAGCGUUGUUCGGAAUUACUGGGCGUAAAGCGCACGUAGGCGGAUUAGUCAGUCAGAGGUGAAAUCCCAGGGCUCAACCCUGGAACUGCCUUUGAUACUGCUAGUCUUGAGGUCGAGAGAGGUGAGUGGAAUUCCGAGUGUAGAGGUGAAAUUCGUAGAUAUUCGGAGGAACACCAGUGGCGAAGGCGGCUCACUGGCUCGAUACUGACGCUGAGGUGCGAAAGCGUGGGGAGCAAAC
rnacentral:rRNA from 1 species